rnacentral:rRNA from 1 species
GAUGAACGCUGGCGGCGUGCCUAAUACAUGCAAGUAGAACGCUGAAGGAGGAGCUUGCUCUUCUGGAUGAGUUGCGAACGGGUGAGUAACGCGUAGGUAACCUGCCUGGUAGCGGGGGAUAACUAUUGGAAACGAUAGCUAAUACCGCAUGACAACAGUUAUUGCAUGAUAACUGUUUUAAAGGGGCAACUGCUCCACUACCAGAUGGACCUGCGUUGUAUUAGCUAGUUGGUGAGGUAACGGCUCACCAAGGCGACGAUACAUAGCCGACCUGAGAGGGUGAUCGGCCACACUGGGACUGAGACACGGCCCAGACUCCUACGGGAGGCAGCAGUAGGGAAUCUUCGGCAAUGGACGGAAGUCUGACCGAGCAACGCCGCGUGAGUGAAGAAGGUUUUCGGAUCGUAAAGCUCUGUUGUAAGAGAAGAACGAGUGUGAGAGUGGAAAGUUCACACUGUGACGGUAUCUUACCAGAAAGGGACGGCUAACUACGUG